ACUACUACAAUGCCAAGUUUCAACAUUCGGUGGACACUGAGCGAGUUCAUUUAAAAUAUGGGCAGACGUCUCCAGUCAGCUAAUUGCGCACUGCAGACCUGGGCUAACUAUCUGUGGAGAGGUCUGCGCUGGUGGUUCCCCGCAACAAUGAGCAUGGACACGGCUCUGCGGGACCCAAAAGGUAAUUCCACGGUGUGGUGUAGGUCCAACUGGAAACGGCCUGGAGCCAAAGGUCAUCCCCAUUGUGUGUGUGUGUGUGGUUCCCACUUAAUUACGCGGCUUUUGGGCGAGUCACGUGACCCACUGUACGUUUUAAUUGCACCAAGUGAUGACGCUUUGUGGCCGACUGUGCCUGGCUUUGCAGGAGACCAGCAAAAAGAGCAGGGACCGGGCAGGAGGAGUCUACAGCGCACUUCAACCACGUCUGCUCCGUUAAGAGCGCAUGGCUGAACCCAGUCUAAUGCUAAUGUAGCUGCCUCUCAUUGUCAGUUUAGUUUUAGUUUGUUGUCAUAUUAUUUAGCCUACCUGUGAAUUGGAGGUGGAACUAAUCGUCCGCGCCGUACUUCCGUACGGAGUUAUUUAAUUGACGCACCUUGCAGACAAUUUGAAUCUUGGCGUGGCGUAAAGACUACCUUGAUACGUUUUGAUUUUAGACACUAUAGAUAUGGUAAAGAUAUAGAAAGGGAGACAACACCUACACAUAUGCAAGAUUUAACUCUUCCAGGGUUAAUGUACAGCCUACGAGGUGCAGCGGGCGAUGCGGGAAGUUUCCGCGCCUCAUUCCGCGCCUCGGCUUGAGCCAGGUUGCUGUCCGUGGUGCUGGAGACUUCUCUUCUUCGAGAGCGGCAGAGUUUGUUGGAAAUCUGCGACAGCAUCCAGCGGUCGCUCCCGUCCGAGUGUUCCGCCAUCAGCAGGUAUUGGUUGACGUUUGCCAGGCAACUGCGAAAGCCAGACUGGUAAUCUGAAAACUCGGAUGCAGCGGCAGUGCCUAAAAGCAACAGAAAGACAUCUCAAGGCUCAGUGAGGCACCGAGGAGAAUCGUGGGCCGCCCCUUGUCCCUGGUCCUUCGCCUCCCGAUUUUCCACACUGCUCGUUCAAAGGGGCUGAGGCUUGGGAAAGUCAUACCAGCUGAAACAAUGUGUUGACUAAAGGCUCACUGCAGCCCACUGCGCAUCUUGCGCCCACACAGACAAUCUAAAAAUACCAAAAUAGACGAGGAAAAAAAUACAUUAAAUCCGUCCCCUUGAGGAAUACUAGCAUUUAGUGCUGUUAUUCUAAGGUAAAUGUGUAUCCAAUCUACUCUAUAGAUAUGUUUAGGGUGGCUCGAGCAUUCCAUAUGAUAUAAAAAAGUUGAUUUGUUUUGAAAGACACGCGACGUUACUGAGAAACCCCUUCUCACAUUGUCCAUGUCUUCUGGCCUGAUCCUGUACACAAUACGUGUGUUAAAAGGACUGAAGGCCCGGGUAAAGGAGGGGCAUAUUUGUAUUCAGUCUGAGGAGAGCGCGCAUAAAAAGAGGCCAAUUUAUUGUAGCGUGCCACUGAUCCUUUCUCUUCGCCUGCUUUGUGACCACACUUGGUUCACUUCUAAAGGAACCCCGCUCUUCUCUUCAUUCUCUUUUGACAAGAUGAAAUAAACUUCCUGUUCGA